GUGGGGAAUAUUGCACAAUGGGCGAAAGCCUGAUGCAGCAACGCCGCGUGAGGGAUGACGGCCUUCGGGUUGUAAACCUCUUUUAGCAAGGAAGAAGCGAAAGUGACGGUACUUGCAGAAAAAGCGCCGGCUAACUACGUGCCAGCAGCCGCGGUAAUACGUAGGGCGCAAGCGUUAUCCGGAAUUAUUGGGCGUAAAGAGCUCGUAGGCGGUUUGUCGCGUCUGCUGUGAAAACCCGAGGCUCAACCUCGGGCCUGCAGUGGGUACGGGCAGACUAGAGUGCGGUAGGGGAGAUUGGAAUUCCUGGUGUAGCGGUGGAAUGCGCAGAUAUCAGGAGGAACACCGAUGGCGAAGGCAGAUCUCUGGGCCGUAACUGACGCUGAGGAGCGAAAGGGUGGGGAGCAAACAGGCUUAGAAACCCGAGUAGUCC
rnacentral:rRNA from 1 species